UUCCGGUUGAUCCUGCCGGACCUGACUGCUAUCGGAUUGAUACUAAGCCAUGCGAGUCUUUGCAGUAAUGCAAGGCAGACGGCUCAGUAACACGUAGUCAACUUACCCUAUGGACGAGGAUAAUCUCGGGAAACUGAGCAUAAUACUCGAUAGAUCAUAAUGCCUGGAAUGGUUUAUGAUUAAAAUGAUUCGUCGCCAUAGGAUGGGACUGCGGCCUAUCAGCUUGUUGGUGAGGUAAUGGCCCACCAAGGCGAUUACAGGUACGGGCUCUGAGAGGAGAAGCCCGGAGAUGGGUACUGAGACAAGGACCCAGGCCCUAUGGGGCGCAGCAGGCGAGAAAACUUUGCAAUGUGCGAAAGCACGACAAGGUUAAUCCGAGUGAUUUCUGCUAAAGAAAUCUUUUGCAAGUCAUAAAACCACUAGUGAAUAAGGGGUGGGCAAGUUCUGGUGUCAGCCGCCGCGGUAAAACCAGCACCUCAAGUGGUCAGGAGGAUUAUUGGGCCUAAAGCAUCCGUAGCCGGCUCUGUAAGUUUUCGGUUAAAUCCAUGUGCUCAACGCAUGGGCUGCCGAAAAUACUGCAUAGCUAGGGAGUGGGAGAGGUAGACGGUACUCAGUAGGAAGGGGUAAAAUCCUUUGAUCUAUUGAUGACCACCUGUGGCGAAGGCGGUCUACCAGAACACGUUCGACGGUGAGGGAUGAAAGCUGGGGGAGCAAACCGGAUUAGAUACCCGGGUAGUCCUAGGUGUAAACGCUGUGGACUUGAUGUUGGGAGUGCUCCGAGCACCCUCAGUGUCGAAGCGAAGGUGAUAAGUCCACUGCCUGGGGAGUACGGUCGCAAGGCUGAAACUUAAAGGAAUUGGCGGGGGAGCACCGCAACCUGAGGAUUGUGCGGUUUAAUUGGAUUCAACGCCGGG
rnacentral:rRNA from 1 species